GAGGAAGGUACAAUUGGGCGGAAAAGGUAAUUGACCCUUAAAGCAAUUGCAGCUGAGUCCUCAACACAUCCAGAGCUGGUACAGCCUUCAGAGUUGUCCCUAGUUGAGGGAAGAAGAACCAGCUAUUUACGUCCCUCCAUCCGCAGUCUUAGUGGGGGACCAUCUUAUGAAGGGGUAAUCUUAGACAUGACAUCUUCUAUGGCUUAGAGCAGGGGUCUUGUUGGCCUCACUGUCUCUGUCACAACUACUUCAAUCUGCUGAUGUAGAGCAAAAGCAGCCAUAGACAAUAUGUAAACAAAGGGCAUAGCUGCGUUCCAACGAAACUUUAUGCGCUAAAACAGGUAGCCAACUCAUGGGCCAUAGUCUGCUAACCCAAGGCCUAGAGUUAUUCUCACUGAGAGGCACAGCUCUGAGACAUCAGCAGUUGAUAUUCCCGGAAGCUGGGGGAUGAGUUCUUAACCCUCAAUUGCAGGUUUGGGCAGAGCACCAUAGGUGCGCUGCAGUUCCCGCCUCGCACAUUUCGGAUCUACAUGCUUCUUAUGGUAGAGUGAUUUAUCUGACUAGGAAUAGGAGAGGAAAAGGACACCAUAGACCAUCCCCUUGCUCUCUCCAUUCUCUUGUGAAUAAGCUGCCUGAAAGGAACAUAUGUCCUUUUCAGUGCUGUAUGUGAGAAUUCAGCACUCUCUCUGCCUACUUAGAAAGAGGAAACUUGGCCACAUGUAGAGGGAAGAUGAUGUGAAGACGCGGGGAGAAGAUGGCCAAGUACAAGCUAAGGAGAGAGACCUGCAACAUCCUUCCCUCACAGCUCUCGGAAGCAAACAACCCCGUUGACAACCUGAUCUCAGAUUUCUAGCCUCCAGAGUGGCGGCGGGACAAUAAGGUUUUGUUGUUUAAGCCAUCCAGUCCGUGGUCCUUUGUUUCAGCAGCCCUAGGAAAUGAAUAUAGAUUUAUACAGUAUGAACCCAUUACUGUCUGACUUCUUGCAUUCCGUUUUGUGAGAUUCAUCCAUAUUAUUGCAAGGAGCAGUAGUUUAUUUUCAUGGCUAUCUUUUGUUGUAUGAAUAUUAUAAAAAUUAUCAAUUUUGUCCACUUCGGUAUUGAUGGAUAUUUCUUUUCCAUGCCCCAAAGCAGCCAAUAAACCAUUCUCAGCUGACCAUAAGUCCAUACAUGUUGUAACAGUUGGCCACUUCUUUUUCCACAAAAAUAGAUGACUAGAUCCACUGUUCAGCGAUCUGCCCAUUAGGAGAAUUUUCUCUCACCACUGUCUUUUUAUUUUAUUUUUUAGAGAUUUUAUUUUUUCCUUUUUCUCCCCAAAGGCCCCCAGUACAUAGUUGUAUAUUCUUCGUUGUGGGUCCUUCUAGUUGUGGCAUGUGGGACGCUGCCUCAGCGUGGCUUGAUGAGCAGUGCCAUGUCCACACCCAGGAUUCGAACCAACGAAACACUGGGCCGCUUGCAGCGUAGCGCGCGAAAUUAACCACUCGGCCAUAGGGCCAGCCCCUUUUUAUUUUAUUUUUUAAAGUGAGGAAUCAAGGUCCUUUUUUUUUUUUUCUUAAGAUUGGCACCUGAACUAACAUCUGUUGCCAAGCUUCUUUUUUUUUUUU
rnacentral:lncRNA from 1 species